rnacentral:rRNA from 1 species
CCUACGGGAGGCAGCAGUGGGGAAUAUUGCGCAAUGGGCGAAAGCCUGACGCAGCGACGCCGCGUGAGGGAUGAAGGUCUUCGGAUCGUAAACCUCUGUUAGCAGGGAAGAACGGUCACUGUGCUAAUCAGCAGUGAAUUGACGGUACCUGCAAAGGAAGCACCGGCUAACUCCGUGCCAGCAGCCGCGGUAAUACGGAGGGUGCGAGCGUUAAUCGGAAUUACUGGGCGUAAAGCGCUCGUAGGCGGUAUGUCAAGUCAAGGGUGAAAUCCCCGGGCUCAACGUGGGAACUGCCUUUGAAACUGGCAGACUGGAGUGUGUGAGAGGAUAGUGGAAUUCCAGGUGUAGGAGUGAAAUCCGUAGAUAUCUGGAGGAACAUCAAUGGCGAAGGCGACUAUCUGGCACAUAACUGACGCUGAGGAGCGAAAGCGUGGGUAGCAAACAGGAUUAGAUACCCCGGUAGUC